rnacentral:rRNA from 1 species
AGUGAACGCUGGCGGUAGGCCUAACACAUGCAAGUCGAACGGCAGCACAGUAAGAGCUUGCUCUUACGGGGCGAGUGGCGGACGGGUGAGGAAUACAUCGGAAUCUACUUUUUCGUGGGGGAUAACGUAGGGAAACUUACGCUAAUACCGCAUACGACCUACGGGUGAAAGCAGGGGAUCUUCGGACCUUGCGCGAUUGACUGAGCCGAUGUCGGAUUAGCUAGUUGGCGGGGUAAAGGCCCACCAAGGCGACGAUCCGUAGCUGGUCUGAGAGGAUGAUCAGCCACACUGGAACUGAGACACGGUCCAGACUCCUACGGGAGGCAGCAGUGGGGAAUAUUGGACAAUGGGCGCAAGCCUGAUCCAGCCGCACCGCGUGGGUGAAGAAGGCCUUCGGGUUGUAAAGCCCUUUUGUUGGGAAAGAAAAGCAGCAGGUUAAUACCCCGCUGUUCUGACGGUACCCAAAGAAUAAGCACCGGCUAACUUCGUG